CGUGCUGCAUCAAUGCCAAUCAUACUUGCACAUGGAACUUCUGAUGAUGUAGUGCCUUAUCGAUUUGGAGAAAAGUCUGCUCAAACACUUGCCAUGGCUGGAUUCCGACAAGUUAUGUUCAAACCAUAUGAAGGGCUUGGUCACUAUACGGUUCCUAAAGAAAUGAAUGAGGUGGUUCACUGGCUCGCCUCAAGGCUUGGUCUCGAGGGCUCGCGUUAAACACUGCACGCCAUCUUCUAAGCAUCUAUAGCGCUAUUAUACAAUGGUGUAGAAUAUUAUAUAUAAG